GAUGAACGCUAGCUACAGGCUUAACACAUGCAAGUCGAGGGGCAGCAUGAACUUAGCUUGCUAAGUUGAUGGCGACCGGCGCACGGGUGAGUAACACGUAUCCAACCUUCCGUUUACUCAGGGAUAGCCUUUCGAAAGAAAGAUUAAUACCUGAUAGUAUGGUGAGAUUGCAUGAUAACACCAUUAAAGAUUUAUUGGUAAACGAUGGGGAUGCGUUCCAUUAGGUAGUAGGCGGGGUAACGGCCCACCUAGCCUGCGAUGGAUAGGGGUUCUGAGAGGAAGGUCCCCCACAUUGGAACUGAGACACGGUCCAAACUCCUACGGGAGGCAGCAGUGAGGAAUAUUGGUCAAUGGGCGAGAGCCUGAACCAGCCAAGUAGCGUGAAGGAUGAAGGUCCUACGGAUUGUAAACUUCUUUUAUACGGGAAUAAAGUUUCCUACGUGUAGGAUUUUGUAUGUACCGUAUGAAUAAGCAUCGGCUAACUCCGUG
rnacentral:rRNA from 1 species